AGUGAACGCUGGCGGUAGGCCUAACACAUGCAAGUCGAACGGCAGCACAGUAAGAGCUUGCUCUUACGGGUGGCGAGUGGCGGACGGGUGAGGAAUACAUCGGAAUCUACUUUUUCGUGGGGGAUAACGUAGGGAAACUUACGCUAAUACCGCAUACGACCUACGGGUGAAAGCAGGGGAUCUUCGGACCUUGCGCGAUUGAAUGAGCCGAUGUCGGAUUAGCUAGUUGGCGGGGUAAAGGUCCACCAAGGCGACGAUCCGUAGCUGGUCUGAGAGGAUGAUCAGCCACACUGGAACUGAGACACGGUCCAGACUCCUACGGGAGGCAGCAGUGGGGAAUAUUGGACAAUGGGGGCAAGCCUGAUCCAGCCAUACCGCGUGGGUGAAGAAGGCCUUCGGGUUGUAAAGCCCUUUUGUUGGGAAAGAAAAGCAGCAGGUUAAUACCCCGCUGUUCUGACGGUACCCAAAGAAUAAGCACCGGCUAACUUCGUG
rnacentral:rRNA from 1 species